UGGUCAAAGAACGAAUCGUCGAAUCGGAUGUCUUUGUGGAAUGUAAUCAGAAAUUCGAAUCGACAUUCGACCUGUGAUCAU
rnacentral:pre_miRNA from 1 species